GGCUUCGUGGUAUAGGGGUUAUUACUUGGGACUGCAAAUCCUCAAGCCUCAGUUCGAGUCUGAGCGAAGCCU
rnacentral:tRNA from 1 species